UGCACAGGAGUGCUUCAGAGUCAUAAAUCUGCCGAGUCUGACCCCGAUCCAAGGUUUCAUACAACACAUCAACGGAACGACCAAGCUUCUCAGCAAAAUGAAUAGAAAACUGUAAGAGCUCUGAUCGAGUUUGACUCCUCCUCCUGGCACAUACAGAGACGACAGUGAAGAGGUACAAGAGAACACAGUGAACCCAGCAGAUGACUUCAUGACAGAGAGCAACGAAGGAGCUGAUAGUUGUGUUACUAAGGAGGAUGCAGCUGUUGUGAGACAAGAUCC